rnacentral:lncRNA from 1 species
GUCAUCCGGGAAGGCCCUGUGGCGUGGUUAGCUGUGCUGUCAGGGAACCCGGGUGCGGCAAAGAGGCCCAGGCCGACUCGGGGCCAGAGCGGCUGUAGCCACGAUGAGUGCUUAAGGGGGGCCUUGUGGCUGCUGUACCCAGUGCGCCCCUAAAAUCAGGGUCUUUGGGGACACACGCCAGGACUGGCCUGUGCUCCUUGCUGCCUCUGUGGAAGGAGCAGGCCACUCAUGCCGACGGCAGUAGCCGGCAGACAGACCAUGGGAAGGGGGUGUUAGAGCAUUUCCAGGACUAGAGUAAGUCCCAAGGUGACUGUCUCAGAAGCUAGUGUUCGUCAGAUCAUGUAAGUAGGAUGUUUAAGAGACAGUCUUCACGGUUAGCCAUACUUUUUAUUUUUUUGCGGUACGCGGGCCUCUCACUGCUGUGGCCUCUCCCGUUGCGGAGCACAGGCUCCGGACGCGCAGGCUCAGCGGCCAUGGCUCACGGGCCCAGCCGCUCCGCGGCAUGUGGGAUCUUCCCGGGCCAGGGCACGAACCCGUGUCCCCUGCAUCGGCAGGCGGACUCCCAACCACUGCGCCACCAGGGAAGCCUCCGGUUAGCCAUACUCGAUGGAGCGUAAGGAGCAGAAAAGUUCUAGGCUUUCCACUCAGGAAAAUGAGUACAGCUCGUUCCCAGGCUGUGCAGGAGCGACUCUGGGACCGUUUCAGAGUCAGUAGUAAGGGUCUGACGGCCUGGCGGGGAGAGGGGUCGGUGCUGCGGGCGAGGGGCCCCGGCCUCGCGGAGGAGGCCUCCGCCCGUCCGCCUGCCCAUCACCCUGGACGGCCGCCCCUCCGCGCGCCCUUCUCAUUGGGGGGACGGGGCGGGGCGCGCCGUCCUCCUCUGCGUGACGUUUGAAGGCUCGGUUUUGUGGGCUUUACAAAUCAGCCUGCACAUCAAUGCGCGAGGGAGCACGCGGGCCCAGAGGCCAGGAGGAGCGGUUGCUCCGGGCUGCGCAGGCCUCCUGCUGGCGCUGGCGGGGAGCGCGCACCGCGGCGGCUGCGGCCCAGGCCGGGGGCUCCGGGUCCACCUGGACCCUGUAGGAAAGUGCAAGUCCUUUCUCAAGAAUGUAGAAAACGAGUAAUAAAAUGAAGGGUGAGACACUCCUUGGUCUGCAGCCACAUUUGUCCCCCAGGUCCACUGCCUGCCAAGUGGACAAAACCCUUUAUUAACUGAAAAGCCUUCUAGAAUCUCUGAUUUGGUGAGCAAUCUGUGUGCAGUGUAGGAGUUUGAUCCCGUGUCCAUCUCCAACUACUUCGUGAGGAAAUGGGGUCACUCUGGUGGGAGAAACCGAGGGGCCUUUGGAACUCAGGAAUUCCCGGGGCCUGGAGAUGGGGGCAGAGAACCUUUGCUCCCACGGAGCUCCCUCUGGUCAGGGUCCCCGGUGGCCCACCUACCCCGCCAGCCCGAGGCCGCUGUGAGGCAGGAAGGUGGGAAGGUCCCGCCUCAGCCUGUCGGCAUCGGAGCGGGCCCCACACAGUCCAGCAGAAGGGGGGCCGCCGUGGAGGUGAAGGGGUGCAGGGGCCACAGUCCCUGCCUGAGAUGCCCCACAACGUCACCGCUCUCUGCUGAAGGAGCUCGGCGCAUGGGCAGACCAGGCUUGCCCUAGACCUUGUGUCCUUGUGUUUUAGAUGUGGCCUCUGUAAACAGCCUACGGUUAGAUUUUGUCCUUUAAUCCAGCCUGACAAAUUUGGUCCUUUACUCAGAGCCCUUAAUCCAUUUAUGUGCAAAACGAUCGCUGAUACAUUGAGAUUCGAAUAUAGCAUCUUAUUUUGUGCUUACGUUUGUCUCACUUGGUGGUGGGGGGUUCCCGUCUUUCCUGCCACCUUUUGUACUGACAGUGUUGUGGGUUUUGUUUGUUAUCAGUCAUUCCAUUUUCCCCUCAACCAGCCUCAACGUUUAAAGAAAUAAAAGGGAAGACAUCCAAAUUUACAGCUGUAUUUGAGAAGUUUUAGCGUAGUUUUUUUAAGAAAUUGAUAGGACAAAUCAGGAAGGAUAUGGAAGAUUUGAACGAGCCAAUUAACAAAAUUGGCUCGAUUGAUGAAUCCGGAACACUGCACCACAGAACUACAGAAUAUUCAUUCUUUUCAAGCAUACACAGAACAUUUACAAAAACUGACCCUAUACUAAGCCCUAAGUGUAAACAAAUUUGAAAGUAUUCAAAUUACACUGAAUAUGCUUUCUGACCAUACUUUAGCUUUUAAGCUAGAAGC